rnacentral:lncRNA from 1 species
AUGUUUUGCCUUUUCUUUUGCUCAUUGUUCCCUAAAGCCACAUAUUUGUUUUAUGAUUUUCCACCUUCACAUGCCAUUUCUUCUUAUUCUCCCCAGAUGCCUCAUUGCUAUGUCUCUCCCUUUUUUCUCCAGCAUCUUACUUGCUGUUGGAAGUCUGGCUUGACCCAAUGUGAGGCCCUCUUCUCCAUUCCAGAUCCAGGACACCAUUCCCUGAAGGAGCCAUCAGGGGCCUGUGGGAUAGAGGCCAUUGCCGGGGAUGCCCUGAUAGAGGUCCUUCAACAAAUAACAAGUAAGAGGCUGCAGUUUCUGCAACGAGAGAUGAUGGGGCUGAAAUGUCAGCAGGACAGACCAGGAUGGAAGAUCAAUCACGGAGCGACCCUAUUUCCAUCUCUAUUCUGGGACCAUGUGGAAUCAGAGAUAAAUUAGACCACAUCUUUGUCCUAGGAGUUCACAGUCAAGCUGAGGCGGACAGACUGACAAAUUGAUAAAUGCUUCAACAUUGUGAUGUGGUGACAUACAGGGUCAGUAGGUGCCUGAACUUCACCAUGGAGCUGUGAGUGCUCUUGACUCAGGACUUGAAGAAGCUGAAGGAGGAAAUCCAGCAGAGGCUAGAUACUUCGUACCAGCAGGCCCUGGUUCUGCUCUACCCCAGCAAGAAUCACUGGCAUCCUCUCAGGGCUUCAAACCUAAGACAUGAUCUUGAUUUCAGCUUUCACUAGGGUUCUGCCCUGAAACCAUCACAAACCUGGGAACCUAUGGCUCCGGCGGUACAUUUCCAUUUAUCCACUGCCCUUUGGGUUUGAAUGUCAGACAGAGGGUUUAGAAGAUGUCAACUCAAAACACAGCCAUAAACUUGGUCUGACAAUCAACUAAAGGAUGAAUCCAGGAAUCCAGGAGGAUGGUUUAUUUAUUUUUGGCCCCCUUUAUGGCCCAUGGAUUUGGAGAGAAGAACACAUCCCAUGGGUUCAGGGGUGCUUCUGGGGGAUUCUUUUAUAGAAAAAAGGUGGAUGGGACCAUUACCCUUCUUUUGUUGUGUGUCCCUCAUUCUGGGCAUCCCUGAAUGGAUCCCCUGGCGGAUGUUCCUGUCUACCCGGAAACUCAGAAUGUGGCCCUUUUUUGAAAGAGGGUCUCUGCAGGUGUCAUUAGGAUAAGAAUCCAGAUGAAUUCAGCCGGAUUCAGGUAGGUUGUAAAUCUGAGGGGGCUCUUAGAAGGGACAGAGAAGGACACACAGAGACAGAGAGAGAGAAGCUGGCCAUGUGAAGGCUGAGGCAGAGAUUGAGAUGACAAAGCCAGAAGCUGGCAUUGCUAGAAGAUGCAAAGAAGCUUUCUCCUCCAAGGCCCCCAGAGGCAGCAUGGCCCUGCUUGACAUCGUGGCUUGGAUUUCUGACUUCUACAACUGUGAGGGGAAAAACGUCUGUUGUUGCAGGCCUCCAAAUUUGUGGUACUUUAUUAUGGCAGCCUGAGGAAACGAAUACAUACUGGAAAACUCACUUUAUAUCAGGAACUGAAAAUGCAAACCUCUCAGGUAACAAAAAUGAAUGACCGAGGAGAAGACUGAGGCAAACUGUAGAAGCUAUGCUUUAUGUAAAGAUAACCAGGUGUUGCCUGGCAAGGACACAGAAACACAUUUGCCAGAUCUUUCAGAGUUCAAGAGAAGCUGGAAAUCCUGGAAUUCCCAUCGCGGUGCAGUGGUUAAUGAAUCCGACUAGGAACCAUGAGGUUGUGGGUUUGAUCCCUGGCCUUGCUCAGUGGGUUAAGGAUCUGGCCUUGUCGUGAGCUGUGGUGUAGGUCGCAGAUGCAG